ACACUUACCUGGCAGGGGAGAUACCAUAAUCACAAAGGUGGUUUUCCCAGGGUGAGGCUCAUACAUUGCACUGGGGGUGUGCUAACGCCUGCGAUUUCCCCAAAUGUGGGAAACUCGACUGAGUAAUUUGUGGUAGUGGGGGACUGAGUUUGCGCUUUCCCCUG
rnacentral:snRNA from 1 species